GGAGGUGCAAUAACGUAUGAUGCCGCGCGCGUUCUUUUCCGGCGCCGCAGAUGGCAUUUGGCAAUAACGGGUCUGUGAUGCCCUUAGAUGUCCAGGGCCGCACGCGCGCUACAAUGACGGUGUCAACGAGUGAGACCUUCUGGCCCGAGAGGGUUGGGCAAACUGGUCAAUCACAGGGAUCGGGGCUUGGAAUUGUGCCCCGUGGACGAGGGAUUCCUAGUAAGCGCAAGUCAUAAGCUUGCGCUGAUUACGUCCCUGCCCUUU
rnacentral:ncRNA from 1 species